AUAAUCCUUAGUUGGAUUUUUAUUUUUUUAUUUUGGCUUGUUAAGUUGUUUUCAAUGAUAAAACAUUUGAAUUAAUGAUCGGCUGUAUUAAACAUGAUUUACAUUAUUGAAAAUAUCUAAAAGUCAACUUUUAUAAUUUUUCAACAUUAUUUAUCUUAAAAUAAGUAGUCUCAGAAUAAAUGGCUGAAAAUAAAAAUAUCAUAAAAAAUGAUGAUAAAAGAUUUAAAUUUCAAUGCAGAAGUACUAAUCUUAUUCUAAAUAGUAGAAAGAAUUGUCUACCAACCGACCAUCCCUAUAGCAAGUGGCAAAGGGCUUGGUGGUCGGUACCCGAGGUCCCAAGUUUGAAUCCUAGUUGAUUCACAUUUCCAGCUAAGUUUAUUUCUAAAUGAAAUAAACGAAGCGGAUAGCGUGCUAUCUAUCUCUCAAAAAAAAAAGAAGAAAAGAAUUGUCUACCCAAAUUUUACUGGAUUUGAAUUAUUCUGCACCGUUAAACUUAUAAAUAUAUCACAUCGGUCAUUAAAAUUAUUAAUUUUGAGACUUUUUGAUCGCUAGUCAAAUGGUCUGUUGAUAAAAAAAGAAGGUGAUAGAGGAAUCCACCAAGAAAGAAGGCCCCAAGUUGACAGUGUAGAUCAUGUCUUUCGGAGCCGGUCGUCGAUUCGGAUAUCCCAUCAUCGAAAAUAACUUGAUAAUAUGAAGGACUUCAUGUUAUCGAUAGUAUAAA
rnacentral:lncRNA from 1 species